AGUAUAAUGUUUAUUAGAGUAAAUCAUGGCUAGUUACAAUACAGUGUGAAACAUAGGAUGCAAAUCGAAUAUAAAGGUUUCGAGAUAAUACCGGGAACCUUACAGCUUAUUACUACACACAAGAGAAGACACUGAAGCGAAGACAGGAAUACCAACUGCGUAAUAAAGUGGACGAGUUCUUUUACACGUCUACGAUAGUCGGAGGGAUGUGAGAAUAGAUGGGAGCUUAAAGGUGUCUUCAACUUCGAGAACUCGAGAUAUUGACUGCACAGCAUGAUUGCUCCGAAAUGCUAGAAGUACAGGCUGCUCCUUACCAACCAUACAAGAUGUCCAUGCUGACAAAACUUUACAGAAUGCACGUUUCGAACCGGCUCCAGAAGCAGAUUGACAUGUUGUGCUUCUCCAACUUCAGCAACGUAUUCGCUCAAGAUGGCGACGAUGGAGAUGGUUCUGACUGGUAAUGCGACAACUGGACCCGUGGUCAAGAAUCACUCGAACUUCUUGUCGCAAGUCUGAGGGGUGACGAUGAGGGAUAUUCUGUCCCGGUUGCGAGAACAGGACGAGCGGUGAAGAUCCAUUCGAUUUUCAUUGUGCAGAUGUCGGGAAUAUGACACCCGCGGCAUACCAUUUGUUUAUUUAAUUAUAAAAAAUACAUUUUAUAAUAACCGAUUCUCCGCGUGGCAAUAGAUCGAAACUUUUCCCGGCGCGAUAAAUUUGCCGCAACCGCAAUCUAUAAUAUUGACGCCUCCCCUUGGUAUCCUAUUUCUUUACCUUCUCCCUCCAACAAAUUCCGGUAAUUAUCAACGUUCCCAUCGCCAUCAGAUAAAGAAGAUCAUCUUUCAUAAAUCGCAAAACCUAUCAAAGGACAAUAUGUAAAUUCUCCUGCCGAAAAUAAUUUGAAACACUUACACAAUUUUGAAGCAUAACUCUUGGUGCAAUCGUAUGCAUGCAGGAAUACAUACAGCGAUGCAAUAAAUUUGUUCCUUUUCGUAGAGCGUAGAGAUCCAUUUCUGUUUGGGUCACAAUUAGAAUGGUACAAAAAAAAAUAAUUAAUUGGUAUUCUUAACGAAAAAUUGAUGCCUACCUUGAUAUUUCUUUUCAACCGUAAGAACGGAAUUAACGCUCACAUUACAAGUGGCUAUCCCGACCAAAUCACGAAGGCGGCAUAAAUAUUUUGACAGAAUCAUCCACUUCAGUAGUUGCUACAUGUGUUCUUCAUACCUAGUCUAGUCGUUUUAUAAACACAAACUUGAUGCUUUUCAUCAGUCCAUGGUCCUUUCAACGUUUCAAGUAAUUCUCAAGCGUGUUUUCAUCCAAGUUGUUGAUAAUUCUACGAGGUUGAAACCGUCACAUUUCCUGCAUUGUAAAAAAUUGGUUUUACCAGAAUGAAGUGCAACUCUGAUCUCAAUCAUAUUUACCAUUCUUUUUUCGAUUUCUCAUCACGUUCACGAUUCACGUUCUGGCUCGUAGAAAAAUUCAACUUGUUAUUCUUAACGACAGGUUGAUAUUUAUUUUCAACCCUAACAACCGACCUAAGCCCCCUGAACAGCUUGUGUUUAGUAUUUUAUUAACCGUACAACCUGUAUUAAUUAUUUAUUUGCAUAUAAUAGUA